rnacentral:rRNA from 1 species
AACGAACGCUGGCGGCGUGGAUAAGACAUGCAAGUCGAACGGGGCGGUAGCAAUAUCGUUCAGUGGCGGACGGGUGCGUAACACGUGAACAAUCUGCCUGGAAGAGGGGGAUAGCCCAGGGAAACUUGGAUUAAUACCCCGUGUGGCGAGUGCGGGCAUCCGCAUUCUGCCGAAGGUGCUGCAAGGUGCCGCUUCCGGAUGAGUUCGCGUCCUAUCAGCUAGUUGGCGGGGUAACGGCCCACCAAGGCAAUGACGGGUAGCUGGUCUGAGAGGAUGACCAGCCACACUGGAACUGAGACACGGUCCAGACACCUACGGGUGGCAGCAGUCGAGAAUCAUUCACAAUGGGCGAAAGCCUGAUGGUGUGACGCCGCGUGGAGGAUGAAGGUCUUCGGAUUGUAAACUCCUGUCAAGUGAGAGUAAAGCCGGGCGUUAACUGCGAGCCGGUCUGAGAGUAUCACUAGAGGAAGAGACGGCU